GGUGGCUCAGUGGUAGAGCACUUGCCUUCCAUGCAUAAGGCCCUGAGUUUGAUUCCUCAGUACCA
rnacentral:tRNA from 1 species